rnacentral:rRNA from 1 species
UACGUAGGGGGCAAGCGUUGUCCGGAAUCAUUGGGCGUAAAGCGCGUGUAGGCGGUUCGAUAAGUCUGCUGUGAAAGUCCAGGGCUCAACCCUGGGAUGCCGGUGGAUACUGUCGGGCUAGAGUACUGUAGGGGCAGGCGGAAUUCCGGGUGUAGCGGUGGAAUGCGUAGAGAUCCGGAGGAAGACCGGUGGCGAAGGCGGCCUGCUGGGCAGUUACUGACACUGAUGCGCGACAGCGUGGGGAGCAAACAGG